rnacentral:rRNA from 1 species
GAUGAACGCUGGCGGCGUGCCUAACACAUGCAAGUCGAACGGAAGGACGAUAAGCUUGCUUCUUUGAUGUUAGCGGCGGGCGGGUGAGUAACACGUGUAUCACCCACCUAUAUUACUGGGAUCACUUCGGGAAACCGGAUCUAAUACCGUAUGAUAUUUUGAACCGCAUGGUGCAAAAGAGAAUGACGGCCUUGCUGUCUCUUAUAGCUGGUUCCGCGCUGCAUUAGCUAGUUGGUAAGGUAACGGCCUACCAAGGCGACGAUGCAUAGCCGAGCUGAGAGGGUGAUCGGCCACACUGGAACUGAGACACGGUCCAGACUCCUACGGGAGGCAGCAGUAGGGAAUCUUGGGCAAUGGGCGAAAGCCUGACGCAGCGACGCCGCGUGUGUGAAGAAGGUCUUCGGGUCGUAAAACCCUGUUAUUGGGGAAGAAAAGCUGUGGAAGUAAAUGCGGACAUCUUGACGGUACCCAAUAAAAAAGCACCGGCUAACUACGUG